rnacentral:rRNA from 1 species
CGAACGGGUGAGUAACGCGUGAGGAACCUGCCUCAAAGAGGGGGACAACAGUUGGAAACGACUGCUAAUACCGCAUAAGCCCACGGUGCCGCAUGGCACAGAGGGAAAAGGAGCAAUCCGCUUUGAGAUGGCCUCGCGUCCGAUUAGCUAGUUGGUGAGGUAACGGCCCACCAAGGCGACGAUCGGUAGCCGGACUGAGAGGUUGAACGGCCACAUUGGGACUGAGACACGGCCCAGACUCCUACGGGAGGCAGCAUG